AUUAAUAGAUAUGAUCUUUAAACUUGAAGAAUUUGGCGGUGGUUUAGUCUUGUUAGAGGAACCUGUUUUUGAAUCGAUAAACCACGUAUAAUCUUACUUACUUUAUUAGUUUGUAUACCGUCAUUAUCAGGUAAUUUUUAAAGAAGUAAUUAUUAAAAGUUAUGUAUGUAUAAUCAAACUUAGAUCAAGGUGCAGCAUAUAAGUAAGCUAAAAUGGGUUACAAUAAAAUUUAUUUAUUGCGGAAUAAUUGAGUAAAAUAAAAAUAUUAUGAAGAAGGAUUUAAUUGUAAUAAAAGUUUAAUAAGCUAAAAAGAUAUAAGCUCUAAAUCAU
rnacentral:rRNA from 1 species